rnacentral:rRNA from 1 species
GGGUGUGAUCAUAUCAGCACUAAAGCACUGAAUCCUAUCAGAACUCCAAAGUUUAGCAUGCUUGGGCGAGAGUAGUACUAGGAUAAGUGACCUCCUAGGAAUUCCUUGUGUUACACUCC